rnacentral:lncRNA from 1 species
UUUGAACAUUUCGUAAGUGACAAAUUGGUAUUGACAAAUAGAUUUGGUCACAAAUAUAAAUUUAUAGUGGCGAUUUACUUGUGAAGUAAUUUAAACGAUCAUAAUUACAUCACUAUAAAAAUAAAAUUAUAGUGAAAAAAUUAUCAUUAUAAUAAUGAUUAAUAAUAGUGAUUACUAGAUAUGUUAUUACUAUUACAAUUAUUUAGUAACAAUUAUACACUUAUAGUUAUGAUUUACUUGUGAAGUAAUUAAAUAUUAAUAAUAGUGACUAUACAUAUGUUGUCACUAUUAUAUAAUUACUUGGGGGAGAAAACUUCGUGUUGAUAUUUAACGUUUCAUUACUGACAAAUUGAUAGUGACCAACGAAUUUGGAAACAAUUUUACACUUGUAGUGGCUAUUUAUUUGUGAUAUAAAUUUAUAUUAUGACAAUUACAUCAUUAUAAAAAGUAAACUUUAUGGCAACGAAAUAUUUUAUUAUCACAGUAAUGGUUAAUAGUAGUGAAUAUUAUAUUUGUCACUGUUGCACCAUUUCUUGGGAAAUAGAACUUCACGCCAAUAUUAGCAUUUCUUAAGUGAUGAAUUGAUAGUGAGCAACAUAUACACUUAUAGUGACAAUUUUACUUGUGACAUAAUUUAAAUUGUCACAACUAUUGUUGUAAUAAUGAAUCACAAUUGUUCAUUUUACUAGUGUCACAAAUAAUCAACUAUUUGUGAUGAAAAUCUUUAUUGCCACAACUAUAUCAAUACUAAAAAUCUUAAUUGUUGUAGUGUCUCCUUUUAUUUAUAAUAUGAUUGUAAUCGGUCUAAAUUGCCCGGCCCAUAUAUAAAUAAAUAAAAUCAAAUACCAAAUGAAAAUUCAAACUCCCAAAUAUAGUCCAAUUACAUUAAAAUUGCCAGCCCAAAUUCAAACCCGAUUACAAGCCCAAAUACACCAAGACCCAAUCUAAAACCCAAACCCAAUUACAGAGGCCCAAUACCUAGCCCUAGACCACGAAACAGAAACUCUAGAAGAUCCAAGCGCCGCUCCUGCCCUCCGAGCGUGCUGCGCCUCUGCGCGAGUGCGUCCCCUCCGAGCUUGUACCUGCACAACAAAAAUGACAACAAGCAAGAAAAAUAGAAAAUCUCAAAUCAAAGGCAAAUAAUGCAUUUAAAGUUAGAUUUUUUUUACAUUUUCCUUUUUCCAUUAUCUACUAUAAAAAGCAAACUUGAUUGUAAAAAGAGGGGAUCGAAAGUUGACAAAAUGAAAAUUCGAAAGCAAUAAAAAUCACAGUUCUUUUUUUAAGGUGAUUGGAUUUUUUUCUCUUUUUUGUUUCUUCGAUUAUUUUGGUUGAUGCUUGUUUAUUGUUUAAGAAAAGAAACACACACAAAAAAAGGGGACGAGGGUUUACCUUAUAUCGGUGCCAUCGAAUCCCCGUCGCUUCGUCGCAAUCGAAGUUUGAAUGGAGAUUUGGGGGCAUGAGAACGGCGGUUGAGGUUAGGGUCGAAACCCUAGCAAAGGAAAAAGAAGCAGCCAUUAUUAAAAAAAA